AGGACGAACGCUGGCGGCGUGCUUAACACAUGCAAGUCGAGCGGAAAGGCCCUUCGGGGUACUCGAGCGGCGAACGGGUGAGUAACACGUGAGUAAUCUGCCCCUAGCUCUGGGAUAGCUCCGGGAAACCGGGAUUAAUACCAGAUACGACCACUUUAGACAUCUGUUGUGGUGGAAAGAAUUUUGGCUAGGGAUGAGCUCGCGGCCUAUCAGCUUGUUGGUGAGGUAACGGCUCACCAAGGCGACGACGGGUAGCCGGCCUGAGAGGGCGACCGGCCACACUGGGACUGAGACACGGCCCAGACUCCUACGGGAGGCAGCAGUGGGGAAUAUUGCGCAAUGGGCGAAAGCCUGACGCAGCGACGCCGCGUGGGGGAUGAAGGCCUUCGGGUUGUAAACCCCUUUCAGCAGGGACGAAGCGAAAGUGACGGUACCUGCAGAAGAAGCGCCGGCUAACUACGUGCCAGCAGCCGC
rnacentral:rRNA from 1 species